CAGCAGCCGCGGGAACACGGAGGGAGCUAGCGUUGUUCGGAAUUACUGGGCGUAAAGCGCACGUAGGCGGUUAUUCAAGUCAGAGGUGAAAGCCCGGGGCUCAACCCCGGAACUGCCUUUGAAACUAGAUGACUGGAAUCUUGGAGAGGUCAGUGGAAUUCCGAGUGUAGAGGUGAAAUUCGUAGAUAUUCGAAAGAACACCAGUGGCGAAGGCGACUGACUGGACAAGUAUUGACGCUGAGGUGCGAAAGCGUGGGGAGCAAACAGGAUUAGAUACCCCUGUAGUCCCUGUCUCUUAUAC
rnacentral:rRNA from 1 species